rnacentral:misc_RNA from 1 species
CCUGUCUUGUCUUUCUUGUUGGCCUCGUGUUGCAAAUGAGCUCGUCGGGCACACGUCAAUAGAGUCUAGUCACAAGGCACAAACUAGCGCUGUAAUCAGAGACGCUGACACUGCAAUAAUUGCGUAAGUCACCGAGAACGCUGUGAAAUUGUGACUCAUAGCCGACGCACACGAUAAGAUUGGAAGUGGUCGGUGUGCAAUAUCUAGUUCCCGGUCUAUAAAGAAAAGAAGGAAGAUUAAGGUUUAACGUCCCAUCCACACCGACGUCAUAUCGGAUUGAUCUCUGUUACGGACUUAGCGGAAGAUUCCAACUUGACUGCAUGCACCCCUAGUGGCAACAUUGGGACGAGGCAUUUUCUCAGGCCACGACUGAAAGUUGGUGUUCAAUACAUCCACAAUUUGACGGUCCACCUAUGGCAGAUGUUUGCCUAUUAAUUGUGAUGGUAUGGGCAUGACCUCCUGCUACUGCUAGGUACAUUCUGCCUCCAAAAUGCAUUGCAAGUAGAGUUAUUAACAAAGAAGUAAUAAAUUAAAAGGCAGUGCAAGAUAUGGCAGUUAUACUGCAAGAACACUGGAAAUGUAGUGACACAGCAAUGGAAGAACUAGCACUGCGGCAUCUACCUCCAAGUUGGACAGACACAUCUUCCAAUGAAGUUGAAGUUGCAGUGGGUGAUAUUUCAGUACAUAUGCCACACGACUUGCAGGUCACAUCAGUUGUGAAGGUUGUGAACCCAUAUUUGUGGUGCUGUUAUCAGCUGAAAAAGGCAGAAUAUGUGAACAGAUAUGGCAGUGCUAAGGAAAUGACUCUGUAUCAUGGUACAAGCAGAGAUAAUAUGGAGUCUAUAAUUACGAAUAACUUGAAUUGGCGAUGUUCAGAGCGAGUCAGGUAUGGUCAAGGCAUUAGUUUCAGUCCAUCAACCACCUAUGCCAAUUUCUAUUCUAAGUACAAUUUUGAUUAUAAAUGGAAGAAUAGGACUGACAUGGCAAUGAUUGUCGCAACUGUACUAGUUAAUAAUACUGCAGAAGGUAAUAACACGAAUAUAGUGCCUCCCACUGGUUCUGAUACAACUAUUGGAGAUCAUUAUCAAGUAUAUGUUAAGCACUGUGACAAUGAAUUUUACCCAGAAUAUAUCAUUUACUACAAAAUCUACAUAGAUGACAACUUUUAAGAAAACCAAUUAGUAAUUUGCCAGAUAGUGCAGGCAGGAGAGGGGGGGGGGGGGGGGGAUACAUGGGCAGUGGUGGCGGCAAGAUAUUUUGAUUUUGAUCCUAUAUCAGACAUUACUGAAAAAAACAACACACAGCUGAAACAAAUGCAAUAUAUUCAGAGACUGAUAUAUACAGAGCCUGAUUAUUAUUAGAGUUUGACACAGUCUCAGAUCUGCACAUCUCUGAAGUAGAAGUUGAAGGAUCAGUUUUUGAAUAGAAUAUUCUAAUUUCCCCCUUAACAGCUAGCGGAUCCUGUUUGUUGAAAGUAAACUAGUGACAUGCUUUUUGUUUGAAAUCAUAUGCACCUUCUACACUAACAGAGAGCUUCACAAUUCUGUGUUCAUAUUAGCACAAAAUUCUGUGUUGUCCUUAUUCACCAAACUAAAACCUUUUUACACUGGGGAGUUACUAUGAGGUUCCAGAAGAACACCCAUCAUUAGCUUACUGAGUGAAGGGUACUUUCAUAUUCCUGAAGCAUGAGUGAGUUUUGAAAUCUCAUACCAAAUUCUUUCAGACCUCUCAUCCUUUCCAAAAUGGAAUGCAUCAAAUUGGUAACAACUGAACUCUGUUCACAAAGAUUCUUUUUUUUUUCUGACAAUAGCAUUUUAGAAAAUUGGUCAAUCAUAUAAUCCAUAGGUGAAAAACUCUUCAAUUUUUGCUGGGAAACCUCAGUAACUUCAGCAUGCUGAAGAAACUUAUUUUUAACUGGCCAUUUGUUGACAAUAUACUCACACUUUUUGUGUAGAACAAUCUGACGUUGGAAAAUAUUUCAGUGUAGUUUUGUCACAGAAACUUCAUUUAUGUAAGCCUUCGCGUUUGCCCCAUUGAGCAACUCUGUCAUUUUUCUGUAUCUUAACAGGCCAAAAUUUUAAAUGAAGCAAACUACUAUUGAACUCCAGAAAUCAGGAUGCUGUUACAAAGCGACCAAUAAGAUCACUGAAAAGAUUAUUUAAUUUUGAAUGAAGUUUAUGAAUAAGUUAGGCCUCUUAUUAGAGGAAUACAUUUAAGGAAUUGUGAAGUGGAAGAAUAGAGCUGAGAAACAGAGGGUAAAGCUUUGUAGAUGCAUUUUCAAACUGUGCCUCAACUUAAUAUGAUUCACAGAAGAGCAUUUUUAAAGGGUUCCACUGCUCUAAGACCCUUCAUACACACUGUAGCAGAGGCAACAACCUAGUAGAAAUAUACUUCAAUAUUUUGUGUGGGUUUUCAUUGAAGAUUUGCUUACAUGUCUUCAGAGCGUUUUGUCUCUUGAAGCUCCUUAGCAAAAAAUGAGAAAUGUCAGCAAAGCUUACAAUAGACUGCCCCUGCACAGAUGUUGGCCUAUGUGAGUAUGAUUAAAGAGCAAAUGUGUUAUUACUUUCGACAAUAAAAACUGACUUUCGAUAAUAAAAA